rnacentral:rRNA from 1 species
UUAAGCGACUAAGCGUACACGGUGGAUGCCCUGGCAGUCAGAGGCGAUGAAGGACGUGCUAAUCUGCGAUAAGCGUCGGUAAGGUGAUAUGAACCGUUAUAACCGGCGAUUUCCGAAUGGGGAAACCCAGUGUGUUUCGACACACUAUCAUUAACUGAAUCCAUAGGUUAAUGAGGCGAACCGGGGGAACUGAAACAUCUAAGUACCCCGAGGAAAAGAAAUCAACCGAGAUUCCCCCAGUAGCGGCGAGCGAACGGGGAGCAGCCCAGAGUCUGAAUCAGUGUGUGUGUUAGUGGAAGCGUCUGGAAAGGCGCGCGAUACAGGGUGACAGCCCCGUACACAAAAAUGCACAUAUUGUGAGCUCGAUGAGUAGGGCGGGACACGUGGUAUCCUGUCUGAAUAUGGGGGGACCAUCCUCCAAGGCUAAAUACUCCUGACUGACCGAUAGUGAACCAGUACCGUGAGGGAAAGGCGAAAAGAACCCCGGCGAGGGGAGUGAAAAAGAACCUGAAACCGUGUACGUACAAGCAGUGGGAGCACGCUUAGGCGUGUGACUGCGUACCUUUUGUAUAAUGGGUCAGCGACUUAUAUUCUGUAGCAAGGUUAACCGAAUAGGGGAGCCGAAGGGAAACCGAGUCUUAACUGGGCGUUAAGUUGCAGGGUAUAGACCCGAAACCCGGUGAUCUAGCCAUGGGCAGGUUGAAGGUUGGGUAACACUAACUGGAGGACCGAACCGACUAAUGUUGAAAAAUUAGCGGAUGACUUGUGGCUGGGGGUGAAAGGCCAAUCAAACCGGGAGAUAGCUGGUUCUCCCCGAAAGCUAUUUAGGUAGCGCCUCGUGAACUCAUCUCCGGGGGUAGAGCACUGUUUCGGCAAGGGGGUCAUCCCGACUUACCAACCCGAUGCAAACUGCGAAUACCGGAGAAUGUUAUCACGGGAGACACACGGCGGGUGCUAACGUCCGUCGUGAAGAGGGAAACAACCCAGACCGCCAGCUAAGGUCCCAAAGUCAUGGUUAAGUGGGAAACGAUGUGGGAAGGCCCAGACAGCCAGGAUGUUGGCUUAGAAGCAGCCAUCAUUUAAAGAAAGCGUAAUAGCUCACUGGUCGAGUCGGCCUGCGCGGAAGAUGUAACGGGGCUAAACCAUGCACCGAAGCUGCGGCAGCGACGCUUAUGCGUUGUUGGGUAGGGGAGCGUUCUGUAAGCCUGUGAAGGUGUGCUGUGAGGCAUGCUGGAGGUAUCAGAAGUGCGAAUGCUGACAUAAGUAACGAUAAAGCGGGUGAAAAGCCCGCUCGCCGGAAGACCAAGGGUUCCUGUCCAACGUUAAUCGGGGCAGGGUGAGUCGACCCCCAAGGCGAGGCCGAAAGGCGUAGUCGAUGGGAAACAGGUUAAUAUUCCUGUACUUGGUGUUACUGCGAAGGGGGGACGGAGAAGGCUAUGUUGGCCGGGCGACGGUUGUCCCGGUUUAAGCGUGUAGGCUGGUUUUCCAGGCAAAUCCGGAAAAUCAAGGCUGAGGCGUGAUGACGAGGCACUACGGUGCUGAAGCAACAAAUGCCCUGCUUCCAGGAAAAGCCUCUAAGCAUCAGGUAACAUCAAAUCGUACCCCAAACCGACACAGGUGGUCAGGUAGAGAAUACCAAGGCGCUUGAGAGAACUCGGGUGAAGGAACUAGGCAAAAUGGUGCCGUAACUUCGGGAGAAGGCACGCUGAUAUGUAGGUGAAGUCCCUCGCGGAUGGAGCUGAAAUCAGUCGAAGAUACCAGCUGGCUGCAACUGUUUAUUAAAAACACAGCACUGUGCAAACACGAAAGUGGACGUAUACGGUGUGACGCCUGCCCGGUGCCGGAAGGUUAAUUGAUGGGGUCAGCGCAAGCGAAGCUCUUGAUCGAAGCCCCGGUAAACGGCGGCCGUAACUAUAACGGUCCUAAGGUAGCGAAAUUCCUUGUCGGGUAAGUUCCGACCUGCACGAAUGGCGUAAUGAUGGCCAGGCUGUCUCCACCCGAGACUCAGUGAAAUUGAACUCGCUGUGAAGAUGCAGUGUACCCGCGGCAAGACGGAAAGACCCCGUGAACCUUUACUAUAGCUUGACACUGAACAUUGAGCCUUGAUGUGUAGGAUAGGUGGGAGGCUUGGAAGUGUGGACGCCAGUCUGCAUGGAGCCGACCUUGAAAUACCACCCUUUAAUGUUUGAUGUUCUAACGUUGACCCGUAAUCCGGGUUGCGGACAGUGUCUGGUGGGUAGUUUGACUGGGGCGGUCUCCUCCUAAAGAGUAACGGAGGAGCACGAAGGUUGGCUAAUCCUGGUCGGACAUCAGGAGGUUAGUGCAAUGGCAUAAGCCAGCUUGACUGCGAGCGUGACGGCGCGAGCAGGUGCGAAAGCAGGUCAUAGUGAUCCGGUGGUUCUGAAUGGAAGGGCCAUCGCUCAACGGAUAAAAGGUACUCCGGGGAUAACAGGCUGAUACCGCCCAAGAGUUCAUAUCGACGGCGGUGUUUGGCACCUCGAUGUCGGCUCAUCACAUCCUGGGGCUGAAGUAGGUCCCAAGGGUAUGGCUGUUCGCCAUUUAAAGUGGUACGCGAGCUGGGUUUAGAACGUCGUGAGACAGUUCGGUCCCUAUCUGCCGUGGGCGCUGGAGAACUGAGGGGGGCUGCUCCUAGUACGAGAGGACCGGAGUGGACGCAUCACUGGUGUUCGGGUUGUCAUGCCAAUGGCACUGCCCGGUAGCUAAAUGCGGAAGAGAUAAGUGCUGAAAGCAUCUAAGCACGAAACUUGCCCCGAGAUGAGUUCUCCCUGACCCCUUAAGAGUCCUGAAGGAACGUUGAAGACGACGACGUUGAUAGGCCGGGUGUGUAAGCGCAGCGAUGCGUUGAGCUAACCGGUACUAAUGAACCGUGAGGCUUAACCUU